ACAGGCCGGCAAGCUGCAAUGGCAUGCAAGGCACAAAACCGGUACGUGGACGGGUGUCUUGACUCCACUAAGGCCCCUGUUGUCUCAUAGUCAUAUGAGAUUCUUUUGAAAAAAAAAUUGUCAUGUGGUUAGCAUGUAUAUAUUCUCGGGUGCAUCGCGGUGGAGGGGAUUUUGGCUUGACAUGGAAUCGAUCGUGGCGUGAAAACUGAAAACCGGAAGUCACGGUAGGAACUAGGAAGGAAUCAUCAUGAUCUUUAUCGAUGGUAAGGUUAAAAAACAGACAGGGCUGGUUUGUGUGGUGAGAAAAAAAAAAAACAGCCCAGGUGUUGUGUGCAG
rnacentral:lncRNA from 1 species